rnacentral:rRNA from 1 species
UACAGAGGAUGCAAGCGUUAUCCGGAAUGAUUGGGCGUAAAGCGUCUGUAGGUGGCUUUUUAAGUCCGCCGUCAAAUCCCAGGGCUCAACUCUGGACAGGCGGUGGAAACUACCAAGCUGGAGUACGGUAGGGGCAGAGGGAAUUUCCGGUGGAGCGGUGAAAUGCGUAGAGAUCGGAAAGAACACCAGUGGCGAAGGCGGCCGGCUGGGGGUGUCCUGACGCUGAGGCGCGAGAGCGUGGGGAGCAAACCGG